rnacentral:rRNA from 1 species
UACAGAGGUGGCAAGCGUUGUUCGGAAUUACUGGGCGUAAAGGGCGCGUAGGCGGUCUUGCAAGUCCCGUGUGAAAUCCCUCGGCUCAACUGAGGAAUUGCACGGGAAACUGCUUGGCUUGAGAUCGGGAGAGGGAAGCGGAAUUCCGGGUGUAGCGGUGAAAUGCGUAGAUAUCCGGAGGAACACCGGUGGCGAAGGCGGCUUCCUGGACCGACACUGACGCUGAUGAGCGAAAGCCAGGGGAGCAAACGGG